rnacentral:lncRNA from 1 species
GGGGAAAAUGACCUCUCUGGUUCUCGAUCACUCGUGUGGAUGAAGCCUCCAGUGGGGAGAGGGAGACAGCAAGGUGGGUGCCCGGGCUAGGUGACGAAGGGCGAGGGGAGGGCGUAAAGUCGGGGGGGGAUGGGGGGGCCCUGGGGGGCUGCUGGGGAAGGGGGGGGAACCCACACCCCUCCUUGCCUUAGCCAAAGGGGCGUGCACCCCGCUCUCGCCCCUGCGUUUUCGCAGCACAACCGUGGGCCGCGCAUCCCCCCCUCCCCGCUGCCAUCCCGUUAUCCCCCCUUCUCAUCCCUUAUCCCCCCCCCCCCGCCCCGCACUCCCGGGGCUUCCCGGCCCGGCGGGGGGCUCGGGGGGCGGCUCCACGCCGCGGGCAGGGGUGGAGGGGUGGGGGGAGAGGCGCCGAGCGCCGCCCUCCGGGGACGCGCCGGGGCCGGGCCGGGGUCCGGCCGGAGCCUCCGCUGCCUUCAGCGCCGCGCCGCCCCCGGGGCUGCGGCUCUGCCCGCGCCGCCGCUCCCGCGCCAUGGGCAGCCGGGGAAGCGGAGUCGAGCGAGGAGUGGAGGCUGGCCGUGCCCGACGCUUUGCCAUGUAAACCUCCCCGGCCUCGCACACUGCAGCACAGACAGAUGUUGGCACAGCCCCGGACCUGCAGAACGGUGCAUGGGAGAAU